rnacentral:rRNA from 1 species
UACGUAGGGCGCAAGCGUUGUCCGGAGUACUGGGCGUAAAGCGUGCGCAGGCGGUUUUGUAAGUCAGAUGUGAAAUCCCCGGGCUUAACCUGGGAACUGCGUUUGAAACUACAAGGCUAGAGUGUGGCAGAGGGGGGGUGGAAUUCCACGUGUAGCAGUGAAAUGCGUAGAGAUGUGGAGGAACACCGAUGGCGAAGGCAGCCCCCUGGGUUAACACUGACGCUCAGGCACGAAAGCGUGGGGAGCAAACAGG